rnacentral:rRNA from 1 species
UACGUAGGGUGCAAGCGUUGUCCGGAAUUAUUGGGCGUAAAGAGCUCGUAGGCGGCUUGUCGCGUCGGGUGUGAAAUCCCGGGGCUCAACCCCGGGACUGCAUCCGAUACUGUCAGGCUAGAGGUAGGUAGGGGAGAUCGGAAUUCCUGGUGUAGCGGUGAAAUGCGCAGAUAUCAGGAGGAACACCGGUGGCGAAGGCGGAUCUCUGGGCCUUUCCUGACGCUCAGGCGCGAAAGCGUGGGGAGCGAACAGG